CCUGAAGCAAAUAAAUAAAUCUUUAAGGAAAGGGGGUCUGAAAAAUCCCUUAAAGAGCCACCAAGAAGAGCACAGAGGACAUGGACUGGGGGGUUCGCCCUGUGCAGAAAAGUGCGUGAAAGACAUCAUCCGCCAGGGGGUCAGGGCUCCGUCCGGCGUGGGCCACAUGCCCAUCUCGCCCGCACACAGGCCGGCCGGGAGGGCCGAGCGCGCGGCGUACGCGAGAAGCGGCCCAAGGCUCGCCGGCACCUCCCUUCCCAAACCCAGGUUCGCUCCGCGCAGGCGCGCUUCUCCGCGUUCCGGCGCUCCGAACGCGCAACGAAACCGCCCCAAGAUCCCCUCACCUCCCCUUCGCGUCAAGGAGGCAGAAACGCGGGGGAAACCUCGGUUACGACAACCUCGUCGUUUAGCGGAGCCCGAGCGCCCGUUUCAUGGAAGACGUACCCGACGGUGCGUGAGGGAAGCCUGCCUCCGUCACCCACCCGAUGAACGGAAACACCAGGCAGGCACAGAACACUUGAACGCGCGCCUUUGUCAUCAAGACACUUACUCUGACUUCGUCCUCAGGACCUUGGAACCUCAAGCCAGAUUCUGUUGCCCACCUAGAACUUGGAAUAGAGCAGUGCAUGAUGGACAGAGGGCUCUCCCAAGAUUCCCGCCUAGAAAGGAAGAAGAGACCUAA
rnacentral:lncRNA from 1 species